AAAAUCUGGAACGGGGCAGAGAAAGAAAAGAGAAAGGAAAGAGAGAAAGAAGAAAAGAAAGAAUGGAAAAAGGAAAAGGAAAAAGAAAGGAAAAGAGAUUGAAUGAAGGAAUAUGUUUGCAAGCCAAUAUUUUUGAAUUGGGAAGGCUACUUAUAUUAAGGAGAUGACGAGAAGAUUGAAAUCAUGAUUAGUCCAUAACUUGACAGAUAGCAGCCGAAUUGAGCAGCUUUGGAGCUUGUUGAACCACCGAAUUGAGCCACGCAUCAUAGGUUGUAUGACAUCUUUUAUCAGAUUAUAUAUUGUGUUCUUUUGGGAUACACGUAGGUUACAUCAGAAAAGUUCAUUAUGAGCUCAUUAGAUAUUUGGUAUUUUUAGUAUAUUUGAGGAUUGUUGGUUGUAAGGCAAGAAAAUGUUGAUUUGCCAGCAUUUUAUUUGAAUAGUUUGUAUUUUAAAGGACUAUCAUACCCUAUUCAUCU